rnacentral:lncRNA from 1 species
GCGCAUGCAUCACAACUUGGGCCCUUGCCAGAAGCAAAUGGACAAAACGAAAUGUUCGCCGGAUAUAUAAAUCCCCCCUUCACCUUCGUGGGAGUGGACAGCCAAGGAAGGAAAGUUGAUUCCUUGCGUGGAAUGGCAUGGCAAUGCUCAGGAGGUGAAAAGGGAAACCCCGUCGGAUGAACAGUUUGUCUGGAGAUCGGUCAUGGUUUACCAGGAGGAGAAGAGAGCAGCUGUAUUUACCACCCUGUGCUUCCACCCUGGAUGUGGCCUAUUUUUAUUUUCUUGAUGUUGUCCCGCACAGCAGCCGCCCAGUGCGCGUCUUGUUUUGCCCGUCUUGAAUCUUCUGACACCUUCGUUGUUUUCGUCCAAAGCUUACAUUACCCUGUUUCUGUUCCUUUCUGUUACUGCCUCCAGGAAUGCUUGUAGUAGUAACAUUGUAACUAAUUCAGUUUCGUCUGUUUGAUCUUUCUACCCUACCUGUUGCCCUUGGUGUAGUUGGUGGCUCGCUUGUAAAGAAGUUGUGGUCCGUGAUAAUUUUACCCGUUUGUUUUUUGGUUCAACUGAAUCCGUUCUCUUCGUGACCGUGUUUGUUUUCCAUGCUUUUUUCUGUAAAUUAAUCGCCUCGGCAGAGUCCCAGCUGUUGUGUGUUCUGUCAGAGUAUAUGUUAAGAAAUUAGUCAAACAAGCAUGGCAGCACUCAUGGCUAGGUCCUGACAGGAAAAUAAAUACUUGACACUCUUGGCUUAGCAGUCGCCACCAAAGCCAUGUCGGAUACCGAUGGUUUCCAAGGAGGAGCACGUAUAUACUUGAGCAGAAAGAGGGUACACGGUGAUCGUGAUUGUGGUCACAAACAGACUCCUCACACCGCAAGUCAUCUAUUCGUCCGGUACAGCACGUGCUCCGGGCCCGUGUGUUUGGUUGAAGUCAUGGACCUAUGGCCGGGCACCCCAAACCGGUCUUAUACAUCCGGUCGGGCUGCCUGGUCAUGUUUUUUUAAUCCAGACAGCCCCUUCAAACGAGCUUAAAAUGCCCGGUUGAUCAACAUCCCUCAUAUCAUCUCAAAUAUAAGGCAGACAUGGGAAUGUUUGGACACACCCGUGUAGGAUAGAUGAAGGGGUCCCUGGAGGACUCGCCUUGAAACCCGACGGUUCGACGGACGCCUUUUUCGUUGCCGCAUGGCCCUGUUCCUGCUCGCCGCCCGAGAGAAAAUCCGUCUAUUUAACCCAGCUGGAGUCCCGCAACCCUAGUCCAUCCACACACCCCUUCUCCGCACCAUUAGUCCGAGCCCAUCCACCUCCCUCUCCCGCUCCGGUGCUCCGCCCACGCUCUGGUGGUCCACCAUGGCCCGGAGGAAGAUCACCUACUACGGGAACGCCGCACCGAGAUCAAGCAGGAGAGCCGGGCGAGACAAGCCGCGCGCGCAGCCCGCAUCGCUGCCGAGCUGCCUCCGGACUCGCUGGAGCCGGAGGAGGAGGAGCAGCCGGGGGAAGGAGGAGGAGGAGCUGCUCCGAUGGAGGUGGAUGAGGCGGAGGAAUAGCUGUCGGGCUUCAACAUGGAGCAGGCGGAGGCGGAUUUCGCCGUCGCCCGGUCCGACGAGAUGGCGGAGCAGCAAGCCAUCCUGGAGUCCAUCCAGGAUGAGGCCUAUGUGGAGGCCAACCGGCCAUUCCUCCGGCAGGAGCAGGCGGCGUCGGACGCGCUCUUCGCCGAACUCGACACGGAGAUAGAGACGGAGAAGGCCGGAGCGGAGCAGCCGGAGGCGUCAGAAAAGGAGCCAGAGCUGCAGCCGCCGACAAUCCUACCGGAGCCGGGCACGGAGAUCGUCGACAUCUCCGACGAUGAGUAGCUAGGUGAUCAACGCAGUAUGUAGGUUAUUUUGUUUGCAUGUCCUUGUAUGAAUUUAAGAAUCUAGUAUGAGAUGUUGGGAUGCAACAAUUGAAAUUUGAGACAUGUACAGUCACUGCUCCGCGGGCGUUUGAGGGGCCAUAUUUGACAUAUCUGCUUAUAGAUGCUCUAAGGGCAACUCCAACGGAUGGACGUCCGUUUUAUUCAGAUUUUGUCCAUUUGAGGAUGGUAAUGGGGCAGCGUCCGUCUGGAUUUUUGCCUACGCACGACCGCAUCAUGUUCGCCUGCAUGGAAAUUUUUGAAAGCAACAAAAGAUGUAGCUAAUGCUAUCGGCCGCGGUUCAUGCGGCCGGCAACAAAGUCAGCGGCCUACAGAAUGUCGCCCCCUAAUUUCACGUCGGCAACAAAUGACCGGCAUACUAGUCAACCUUUAAAAUGAACAUGUUCCUAACGACAGCAAUAAAGCCAGUGGACAGCACAUGAGUCGGCCUUCAAAAUGAACAAUUUUUUGACGCCGACAACAAAGCCAUCCUACUGUUGCCCUUGAUGUAGU